GGUGGUGCAGGACGUGAGCAGGUCAUCUAUGCUGGUCCUCAGGACUUCAGUGCACGGGUUUUGGAAAUUAUUCCUGAUGCUGAACAGUGUGAUGUUAAAGAAUUUAUGAGCUGUGACUUCUCUGACUCUGGAAAAGGAAGUAAUUCAAGCAGAAACAGCAGAGAAGAGAGCCUAAGCAGCAAUGGAAGAUCAACU